rnacentral:rRNA from 1 species
ACGCUCGACACCUACGGGGCAGCAGUGAGGAAUAUUGGUCAAUGGGCGCAGGCCUGAACCAGCCAAGUAGCGUGAAGGAUGACUGCCCUAUGGGUUGUAAACUUCUUUUAUAUGGGAAUAAAGUUUUCCACGUGUGGAAUUUUGUAUGUACCAUAUGAAUAAGGAUCGGCUAACUCCGUGUCAGCAGCCGCGGUAAUCUGAGCGGGCUGGCAAGGC